AUCACCACCACAUCACUCUUUCCUCCCUCCUCCCUCUCUGCCUCCCUCCCCCAUGUGCAUAGGUAGUGUGUGUGUGUGUGAGCACGCGUUUGUAGAGUUUAGUGUGUGCUUGUGCGAGCCCCACCACGUGUGUGCGAGAAGGACCAACAUUAACACAUGAGAUGUAACACAUAAUGUAAAAAUGUCAACAUUGAGAAGUAACCUGUUCUGAGUCGGGAUGGGAUCUGUGAGUAGACGAGGCUUUAAUUGCGAGUGUUAGACGACCGUCACUCCUGCAGCUGUGGACUUGGUUUUGUUGAUUUGAAAGGAAAAAAAAACUUUUUUUUUUUGUUAAUGUCAAUAUUGACUUUUUGAGGUUCAUAUUUUAAAUGAUUUAGGGAAUAUCUUUUGUCUUAAUGUCACUACAGUACCAACAGUAGAUUGUUUCUUUUUUUUUUUGCUUCGAUUCCCUUGUCAUGAAAAAGAAAAUUUAAGAUAUGAGAAACGUUCUUGUUCUGUACAGAGAAUGAACACUAUUUUAUGCAAUUUUUUUUAAAAAACGGCUUUGUAAAUUGUUUGACCAGCGUGGCUUAGACAUACCGCCUUGAUUUCUUUUCUAAUGUUUACCAUUGUGUCUUCAGUAUAAACUCACAAGUGUUUCAAGAGAGAGAGAGAGAGGACGAGUUGCACGUGCGUGGCAGACGAGGAUGGGGAAAGGUUUGGGUGCGAACGUCUGAAUGCUCCGCUUAAACGAAAACGAAAAGCAAAACGCCGCAUGCCCCGUGUGACCAAGCAUGGACUGUAUAUGGUUUUCUUAUUUCUAAUUUAAUGUAUUCCCCUCCCCCGUCAUUGUUAGAGUUUAAAUUAACUUCAUGGAUGUUUUUUUCUCCUUUUUUUUUUUUAGAUCAUUUGAAUACAAGCCAGUUUUUCUGCACUAGGCAGAGCACAGCUACCUCAAUAUGAUAAAAGAUUUUUUUUUUUGCUCAUCUCUAGAUGCUUUUCCCGAAUGGUCUUGCCAAUGUGUAACAUCCGAGGUGUGCCCCUAUUCGCUUGUGCAGAAAACAAAAGAACUUAAUAUUCCGUCAGCCUAACACUUUUAAGAAUAUAUAUUGUUUUGCAUUGUGUUUCCUUUUUUUGACGUCAUUAACUUUAUUCACUCUGGUGACAGAACUGAUUGGGAAAUGACUUAUUGUCAAUUUCCGUCUCCAUGUUGAUUCAAAGGACAAUAAUAUUAAAAAGAAUUGAGAGAUCAAUACCAAUACAAGUACUUCAAAUGAACCUGGAAUGCAAAUGAGAAGCCAAAAUGUUUUCUUUUUUUACUUAAAGGAAAAAAAAAAAUACAUUCUUGAACCCUUUGAAUCAAAGUGUUUUCUGUCUUUAUUCAAUACGAUCUAGGGCCGGCGGUUGUGGUCGACAUCAUUCACAUUCAGUGUUUUUGUAUGUACAUAUGAUACUUGAAUACAAACCAUUUCAGACAUAUGAAUGCUCGAGUCUCCUUGGCACAAAAAAGUCUGGUAGAAAAUAAUCACGACACAGUGAAACCCAUGUUGUGUGUAUUUGACCUAUAGGCUUUCUAUCUUUUUAGAGGUUGUGUUCAGUGUUGUGUUUAUGUGUGUUGGAGCUGAGCCCGUUCAGACAACUGCACUAAUCCCAAGAAUCAUCAUUAUUAUUAUUAUUAUUAUUAUUAUUAUAAUAAUAAUAAUUUUUUUUGUAUGGAGUUUUCUUAGUGUGUGGCGAACCCCCGUGCGUGUCUCGUCAAUAGCAUGUUUGUGGGGGAUGAGAAGCCUGGGUGUGUUUGCACGGUGUUCCGCGUUAACAACUGUGUGCUUUCUUCCACAAUGCCUCCCAUUGGCUCCCUGUCACUAGAGUUGGCUUUCAUAAAAAAACAAAACCUUUCACAAUAUCUAAAGAGUGAACUGGAAGGCCGGAGUCCUCCCGCCUCUCGGUGCACACAGUAUGUAUUCACUGAAUCUCCACGCACCUCCGACGCCAUGAUGACCAGCAGCAGCAGUGUGUGCGCGCGCGUGUUGUUGCACCAACAAUUAUACAGGACAUGUUUUCACAGUCGUGAGACCAAACACAUGAGGGUAGAAGUUGUCGAGCUGGAAACUGUCCCCCGUUCACUAAACACAAAAACACUUAUUACACACUUAUACCUCCGUGUGCAGAUAGCUAUAUCAAUAUCACACUGUUCCAGUUGCAGAUUUGUGUGCAGGGAAGUUCCUAAACACCCUCAACAUCCCUUCUUGCAUGUAAAAAACAAAUUGUUUCCAGCGUUCAUGGUAGUGUAGAGACUCUUUAAAAAACCAAAAAAAAUUAAAAAUAAAGAAAACACUGGGUUUAUCAGUCUUAGCUGUACAUCCGCAUAUAAAACUCAUGCAUGCAACUCCGUCGCUGUAUGUAGGCUUUGCAAUUUGUAAUGUAUAGAUUCUAAUGUAUAAUAACUCGUACGACUUACAGACGGUUUUAUGAUGGUUAUAUCGUAGACAUGAGGGAAAUCACUGUUUUUAAAUGUAACAGUUUGGGUAAUUUGCACAAUAUUAGACCGUGAGCAACGACUCACGCUGAACUUGACUGUGCUCUACUUUCCUUCUCUUUUCUGAUUUUCCUCUUCCCUAUCCCCCCCUUUAAGUAUCGUAGGUCCGUCACCAAGCCAUUUCCAUUUUUAAAAUAAUUCAUUUUCAAUGAGGUCAACAGACUUUGACACUUGGGCGUCAUUUGUAAUUCUUGCAAUACAACAGUGUUUCUGUUUUUGUUUUUUUUCUUACUGCCUCUGCCGUUGUCAUUCUGAUAAUUAUUGCUGUUAUUCCUUCUGUCAUCAUUCAGUAUAUCUUUAAUAACUGCUGUAAAACUGUGAUCUAAUGUGAGGGCGGGGGUGGAGGCCUGUGUCGCACACCCUCACCUCAGCAACUCCUGAUCGAAGAACAAUAUUAACCAUAUGUUUAAAAAAAAAAAAGACCAUUCGAUCAUUAUUGAAGAUUAGUAAUGAUUGUACAUGCAUUACUGCGGUUGUGGUUUCAGGUAAAUAAAGUAAUAUACUAUUUGAAUUUGAA